rnacentral:tRNA from 1 species
GGCCUAGUGGCGAAGUGGUAACGCGGCGGUCUGCAAAACCGCUAUGCGGGAGUUCGAUUCUCCCCUAGGCCU